GGCUCACCAAGCCGGUGACGGGUAGCGGGUGUGAGAGCACGAUCCGCCGCAUCGGGACUGAGACACUGCCCGGACUCCUACGGGAGGCUGCAGCAACGAAUCUUCCGCAAUGCGCGAAAGCGUGACGGAGCAAUGCCGCGUGCAGGAUGAAGCCCUUCGGGGUGUAAACUGCUGUCAGGGUUCAGCAACACAAUGAGCAGACCCAAAGGAAGGGCCGGCUAACUUCGUGCCAGCAGCCGCGGUAAUACGAAGGGCCCGAGCGUUGCGCGGAAUUAUUGGGCUUAAAGCGUACGUAGGCGGACGAGCAGGCACCUUGUGAAAGCCCUCGGCUCAACCGAGGAAUUGCUUGGUGAACCGCUCGUCUUGAGGCAAGUAGGGGCUGUCGGAACGAUAGGUGGAGCGGUGAAAUGCGUUGAUAUCUAUCGGAACGCCAAAGGUGAAGACAGGCAGCUGGGCUUGUACUGACGCUGAGGUACGAAAGCGUGGGGAGCGAACGGGAUUAGAUACCCCGGUAGUCCACGCCGUAAACGAUGUGCACUAGAUCGAGGGGGUUCUGACGCCAUUCUCGGUCGAAGCAAAAGUGUUAAGUGCACCGCCUGGGGAGUACGGUCGCAAGGCUAAACUCAAAGGAAUUGACGGGGGCUCACACAAGCGGUGGAGCAUGUGGCUUAAUUCGAAGCAACGCGAAGAACCUUAUCCUGGGUUGAACUACGGCGGAUUAGCUUCUGGAAACAGAAGUGACGCCUUCGGGUGGAACGUCGAUAGGUGCUGCAUUGCUGUCGUCAGCUCGUGCCGUGAGGUGUUAGGUUAAGUCCUUUAACGAGCGAAACCCCUGUCGCUAGUUGCCAGCGCGUUAUGGCGGGGACUCUAGCGAGACCGCCGGUGUCAAAUCGGAGGAAGGUGGGGAUGACGUCAAGUCCGCAUGGCCUUUAUGCCCAGGGCUGCACACGUGCUACAAUGGCGGGUACAGAGCGACGCAAUACCGCGAGGUGGAGCAAAUCGCGAAAACCUGCCCCAGUUCGGAUUGCAGGCUGCAAUUCGCCUGCAUGAAGUUGGAAUCGCUAGUAAUCGCGGAUCAGCUACGCCGCGGUGAAUACGUUCCUGAGCCUUGUACACACCGCCCGUCAAGUCAUGGAAGCUGGCAGCGCCUUAAGUCGCCGCGAUUCAGCGGUGCCCACGGCGAAGCUGGUGACUGGGACU
rnacentral:rRNA from 1 species